rnacentral:rRNA from 1 species
UACGUAGGGGGCAAGCGUUGUCCGGAUUCAUUGGGCGUAAAGAGCUCGUAGGCGGUUCGGCAAGUCGGGUGUGAAAACUCCAGGCUCAACCUGGAGACGCCACCCGAUACUGCUGUGACUCGAGUCCGGUAGGGGACCACGGAAUUCCUGGUGUAGCGGUGGAAUGCGCAGAUAUCAGGAGGAACACCGAUGGCGAAGGCAGUUCUCUGGGCCGUAACUGACGCUGAGGAGCGAAAGCGUGGGGAGCGAACAGG